rnacentral:tRNA from 1 species
AAGGAUUUAAGUUAAUAAAACUAAUAACCUUCAAAGUUGUAAAUAAAGUUUACUUUAAGCCUUA